CAAUAGCGUAUAUUAAAGUUGUUGCAGUUAGAACGCUCGUAGUCGGAUUUCGGGGCGUUCCGACCGGUCUGCCGAUGGGUAUGCACUGGCCGGAGUGUCCUUUUUGCCGGAGACCGUGCCUACUCUUAACUGAGCGGGGGCGGGAGACGGCACUUUUACUUUGAAAAAAUCAGAGUGUUUCAAGCAGGCAGCUCGCUCUUGCAUGGAUUAGCAUGGGAUAAUGAAAUAGGACUUUGGUGCUAUUUUGUUGGUUUCGAACACCGAAGUAAUGAUGAGAAGGGACAGUCAGGGGCACUCGUAUUCCGCCGAGAGAGGUGAAAUUCUCAGACCAGCGGAAGACGAACCACUGCGAAAGCAUUUGCCAGGGAUGUUUUCACUGA
rnacentral:rRNA from 1 species